GCGAGGUGCGGCCUGUGGGGCGGGUGCGCGCGCGAGCGGGCACGUGGGGCUCUUUCGUCCCCGGCGUCCGGGCGCCCUGCGCCAGCCCCCACUCCUGCCCCGGCCCCACGGGUGGCUGGUGAGCAGAAAGAUCCAAACCCGUGCCCCUACCGCGGGCCGGCGCAGUCGCGCCUUUGUGUUUGUGAAGUGCUCGUAACAGCCAUGAAAAGAAUGGCGUCCAUUUACAUAAUGCUUUGUUUGCAUCUUGCUGGUUUCUUUCUGUUGAAACCCGCAGAAACCCAACCUAGCAAUUCGGUCCUUUCUACCGUGGCAGUCUCUUGUCUGCUACUUGAAACAAUAGUGUGCGUCUCUGGAGGCCUUAUUUAAAUUCGAGCGGUGCCGACCAGAGUUGGAGGUUUCUGCGGCAUUUCCCGCGCGGCCUCUCCGGUUCUCGCUUUUCGGCCCUCUUCUCUCACAGCGCAGCCGCAGCGCCCCACUCUCGGGCGGCCCCUGGUGACGCCCGCCAUCUUGGGAGGCCUUUUCUGCCUAGUUCAUCUCGCUAGAAAAUGUCGCUGAGAUGCCGGCACAUGAGUUGUGAUUUCUACCCCUUCCCUUUCCUCUUUGAGCUAAGCCAGACUCCAGAAUGUCAAGUGAGCAAAGCAUACUUAGUCCCUCAGUGAAAGUGGGCUAACGUGGCGCUCCCCAUCGCCACCCCCCCCCCGUCGCCAUGUUUCCUGAACACAAAAUGGCGACACGUGGCCUGGAUUCGUCGCUCAGGAGAAAUUGGGGUCGCCCGAAAGCUCUAGAACGCGCCGCCUCUUGUUCACUGGGACUUCCCUGCGACGGGAGUCCUUAAGAUCCCUCCUGUAGGCUGGUCCGAAACGUGGCGGAAGAAGUUUAAUCCUCCCUCCUUUAAUUUGAAAGGAGAAUGUGAAUAAUAGUAAAAUGUAGGCACGGUGUCGAUCAUCUCGGCCUUUUUUUUUUUUUUAGAUUUUCAUAGUGUAUGGGCAGUACCAUGGGGAAAUUUCAGGUGUCCCCCCGCCCCUGUACCAAAAUACUUAGAAACCACUGCUUUAAGGAAUGAGAUGGGGAAAAUACUGCUUUCCCAGAUCUCCUAGUACACGGUGUUGUGCUGGGAAGACCAAAAUAUGAUUUUUAAAAUAAUACAAAUAUGUAGACAUACUCUGUAGGCAUUUUCACAGGCAGUUAGUUGGUCAGUGACCCACAGCUUAUUAUAAUUUGUAUUGUCUUUUAUGGUCUAGAAGGGACAGAUCUUAUGGUAGGCAUUUUAUUGCAUACUAUCUUAAUUUUUACCACACUCUACGAGGUAGUUAUCCCCUUCUCUUUCUCUCUUUUUUUUUAAGCAGAGGAAGACACUUAAGCCCAGAGAAAUGAAGUGAGCCAUUCAAAGUCAUACGUUGUCGGGGAUGGAAUCCAGACCUUCUGAUUUCUUUACUGGUGAGCACAUUUUCCAGUUUUUCUAUAAAUCAAGGUUUUUGAAUUAAAUUCAUUCAUUCUUUCUUUUUUUUUUUUUUUUUUUUGUAGCAAAAAAGCUACCAAAGGUGCUUAACCAUUGAGCCACAUUCCUAGCCGUCACCCUUUUUAUUUUUUUAAUUUUAAAACAGUGUUGCUUACAGCUUCGCUAAAUUUCUGAGGCUGGUUUUGAACCUGUGAUCCUCCUGCCUCAGCCUCCCGAUCUGCUUAGAAUUUAAAUUGUUUUUAACGUGUAAAUGUGCUGACUUUGAAGGUUACCUUUAGGUAAUCCUUUGUUGUGUAGUCAGCCCAUUUGUAUCUCCUUGGGGAUUUCCAUUUUCUCCUGAUGUGAGUGACACACACAUUUGAGCCCUGUCUGGGCUUAAAUGCUGUUCUGUGAGGUAACUGGAUAGGGAGAGAGAGAUGGAAGUGAUUCAGACCUUUCCAAGGCCCACGUGUCUUAGUCUGGCCUCCUCAGUGGCACAUUUGAGUUACCUGGCUCUAGGGGAGUGAACAAUUCUUUGAGAGACUCACUUGCUUCCUUCAGCUACUUGUGCUUGACUCCUUCUUCACUACCCCUUAUCCCCAGCUCUGUAAAAAUGAGUUAUUUUACUCUGGCACCAAGCCUCCAUUAUUCUGCAAAUAUUGACAAAUCCUGACAUAGUGUUAGAUAAAUCAUAGUCUGUGGACACCUCAGUGUAACACAUGGUUAGGGGGUCCAGGUAACAAAAACAUGCCUAAACAAGGACUACAUGGCUGUUAUAGAUGGAGAGGGAUUUUUGCUUUUAACUUACAUUAACGUGUGUAUCAAAUUUUCCAAAAGUCUUCAUAUUGUUUUAUAUAACUCUGCAAAUAACUUUGAUAGGUACAUACCUAGGAUAUAACUAAGUACUUAGUGCUAUUAUUAUUACAGUAAUAAUAAUAGCACUAAGUACUUAGUUAUAUGCUAGGCCCUGUUCUAAGCCUAUCCUAUGCUUUAACUCAGUGGCUCUUAACAUUAUUAAAAGUAAAAUAUUAGAAGAAAUCGAUCUUACAUUGUAAUUCAGAUGUACACACAUAUAUCACAUAUCGGUUCUUUUUUUUUUUUUUUUUUAAUUGGGAAUUAAAUGAGGAUGCUUUACCAUUGAGCAACAUCAUCUUUUAUUUAUUUAUUUAUUUUUAAUUUUGAGACAGGGUUUCACUAAAUUACUAAGUUGCUGAGGUUGGCUUUGAACUUGGAAUCCUGCUUCAGCCAUCCUAGUUGCUGGGAUGAUAGGUGUGUGCCACUGUACCCAUUUUAUAUAACAGAUUUUUUUGCAAAACACUACUUAUUACUACAUGCAAUGUAUUCUGGUUCCAGUUUCUGUUCAUUUAUUUAUAUUCAAACAUAAAAGGGGUUGUUAUAACUAAAAUGAUUCAAAACCCAUUAGUAGGUUGUGACUGGAAUACACAUUUAAUCCUCAUAUAAGCUCAUGAAAUGGGUGGUGAUAUUAUUUCCAUUUUACAGAGGUACUGAGAGGUGAAGGAGUUUGUCCAAGUUCAGAUAAAGUAGUAAAGUAUGGAUAUGAAUGUAGGCAAUCUGAGUCCACAGAUGGUAUACUUAACCAUAAGGUAGAUGUGGUCUCUGUGGAGUUCUUUGUAGGGAGACAAAGUAGAUUAAAGAAUUAAAAAUACUAGUAAUGGCUUGGCAUGGUGUACACACCUAUAAUCCUAGCCACUUGGGAGACUGAGGCAGGAGGAUUGCAAAUUUAAGGCCAGCCUCAGCAAUUUAAGCACUAAGCAAUUUAGCAAUAUCCUGACUCAGAAAAUAAAAGGGCUGGGGAUGUGGCUUAAGUGGUUAAGCACCCCUGGAUUCAAUUCCUAAUUAAAAAAAAAAAAAAAGAUACUAGUAAUGGUUCAAAUCCGGGUGCGCUCUCCAAAUACAACAAAAAAAAAAAUAUUAGAAAACAGGAGACGAAAGGACUAAAUUGCAUAUGGUCAUGGAGUAUCCUGAUUGAAUGCAUUAUGGUCCUCCAAAUUUACUUUUUUUAUCUUCCCUAAAGAAAUUUUUACCCAUCAGGUAAAAAAAAAAAAUUUUUUCCCCAAGAUUGCCUGUUUUAAUUCUUUUCUGCCUGAAAUAUUUCCUUGAUUUCUUCUUAUCUGAGUACCUCUAGGACUAAUUGUACUCCUCAGUGAAGUAUUUCCUUUCUCAUCUUCCUUAGCUCUUAACCUCCCCGAGAAUCCUAUAUCCCACCUUCAGUGGCCCACAUUUUACUGUUGAUGAAAUCCUAGAGUGAUGUGUCCUGUAGGCUCUCCAGGUGCCCUGGAGAUGCUGUAAUUUGUCAAAGUGGGCUCUGGAUUUUGGAAUCCAAGGCUCUGUGCCCUAGCCCCAUUCUGUGACUGACUAGCUGUGAGACUUCUACAAUUUAUAUAUCUGGGUCUCAGUUUUUUCCACUGUAAAACAAAAAAUUAAAUGAUCACUAAGCCAUUUUUAAAUUCUAUUCUGGGAGUGAUACUAUUUAAUGACCUUAUUAUCUCUGAGUGGUGGUGGGUAGGGUUGUGUAAAUGUUUUACUCACUUUUGGAAAAUUCUGUACUCCCUUACUCAGAUCUGGAUUAACUUUUGAAUUCCACAUUACCCAUUUUAUGGAUGAAGCUCCUGAGAUAUGGAACAAUGGAUUGAAUAGUCACCGCCCCAACCCUGGAAUCUCACACAGGACUCUUCUCACUCAAAUGACCACAGGUUGGUUAAGGGGUUUAAUAUGACUGGGAAGGUGAGCCAGGUUUAGACUUUGGAAGUUGAACCACAGGAUUUAUCUUCCAUUCAGAGAAACAAUUUUUACUUCCUCUUACAUUAUGUUGGCAUGUUAUAUACAUAAAACUUUAAAAAAUGAUUUUGUAUUACUUGUAUAAGCAUCACAGACAGCUUUGCCAAUAAGUUAUUAUUGUACCAAUUUUACUGAUGAGCCAUCUUUGGAUUAGAAGAGUGAAAGAAUUUGCUGAAGGUUAUACAGCUUAUUGGGACCUGAGUUAGAUUUUUUUUUUUUUUUUUAAUUAGCUGCCAUGACAUUACAAUGAUCUUGGCAAUUCAUACAUUUGAAUCAAUUGGGGUAUAAAUUCUCAUUUUUCUGAUUGUACAGAUUGCAGAAUCACACUGGUCAUAGAGUCACCUAUAUAUAUACAGCAUGAGUUAGAUUUCUUGAUUACUGCUUGUAGAUUGUCCUUUCCUUAACUUCUGAUGUCUGUGGCAUAGACUUUAUUUUAUUUUUUAUUUUGGUAUUGGGGAUUAAACCCAGGGUGCUUAACCACUUAGCCACAUUUCCUUUUUAUUUUUAUUUUGAAACUCGGUCUUGCUAAGUUGUUUAGGGCCUCAUUCAAUUGCUGCAGCUGGCCUCAAACUUGAAAUCCUCCUGCCUCAGUCUCCUGAGUUGUUGGAAUUAUUGGUGUGUGCCACUGUGCCCAGCUGUGUCACAGUUUUGAAACUUGGAUAACUUUAAAUUCAAAAAGCCUCCCAAAUCAGUCUUUGUUUUUCUGUCCUAGAACAUCCAUUCCAAUUACCUUAGGCUCCUUACUCUUGUUUUAAGAUAAUUUCUUCUCUUCUUGAUCUCUAGUGCUUACAUUUAUGAGUUUGUGAAGGAGUGAGAGUGAUUACUCAAUGAGACUCCCAAAUUCCCUGGUGGUAGGGACCAUAUUUCUUUUCUUUAACCUACUUGUCCCAGCAAAGUAUACUAUAGCUAUUUAAAUUUGCUCUAUAAACAUGUAGCAUUGUUUUUUAAAAACAUGGUUUAAUUUUUUUCUCCUCCAUCAGAGCUCUCUUUUAUUUAAAAUAAUAUUAAAUUGAGAGGGCCUUUUCUCUAUUAUAUUAUAGGCUACUAUAGCCUAGAAACUUGUCUUACCCACUUUGCAGAUAGUAACAAUUUGGUGUCAUGUGCUGGUUUCCUUGUUCUGCUGUUAGGAGAUCACUCUUUGGUUGCCUGAGAAACAUAAGAAGUUUAUUGGUGUAGUUUGCAGAAGUAACCCAAAGAUACAGCAACAUCCUUGGCCUAAGUUCUCCCUAUUAGACAAAGCAAUGCCCUUGGAUACUCUAUGGUAUCUCUGCCUGAAAUAGAGUAUGUGGAAGAGAUGGCAGAGGAAAGUUUAAAAAGGGGAAAAAUGAAAACUGAAUGCAAAUACAAAGUAUAGAAAGUGAGGAUGGGUAAAAAGCGAAGAGUGAAAUGCAGUAUUGGUGGGAAAGAGGUGAACAAAACAAUCUAGAGGUUCAUCACCCCUGCUUCCCUCCUGUGUGCCAGCGCACAGCUGGUGGUUUGAGAAGCAUAGACUGCUGUCUUCAAAGAAGAGCAGUGGAAAUGAUGACUCCUCUUGAGUUGAUUUCGGGUAGCACACACUUCCAUUUUUUUUUUUUUUUUAAACCUCUAUGUUCAUUACCAUGUAGAGUAAAUUUCUUUGCUUCUGCUAUCAGCUGGGGAUGGGAUUGGGUGCCAGUAACUUUAAUAUUAGCCUGAGUUCAGUUGAUUUAUCAGGGAAAAUAUGUUAAAAAAUUACUGAAGGUUUUCUUGGUCAAGUUUGUAUACAUUCAUUCAACAAGUCAUUAUUGAUUGUUUAAUAUGUCUUAGACACUAAGAAUAUACAAAUGCAUGAGAUCUUGACCUUGGCCUCAAGAUGUUUAUUAUCUAGAUGGAGAGACAGGUAACACAGACAUGUGUUAAGUAUUAAUAUAUGAGUUAGCAGAGAAUGCAGUGGGAGAAGAGAGGAGGGGCCUUAAUUUAGCUUUGGAAGCAAUGGGAGAAGGCGGUCUAGAUAAAAGUUGACAUCCAGAGUCCCAAAUGUGAGGGGGAGGGUAGGAAAGGGUAUUAUAGGCAGAGGGAACAAAAGUUCAAAAUCAGAGAGAGCAUAGUCCAUUGAGAAGUUGUAGGCAUUUAUGACGGAUGUUUGCAUUAUCCAAUUUUUAGUGAUUAUUGUUCUCCUGCUUCAGUAGUGUGGAUUAUUUUAACUUUACUGUGCUUGCUAUAGCAGAGAAAGUUGCAGACUUUAUUUUGGAGUAUUACUUCUGUUUUAAAAUGAAGACACCAGAAAUUGCACUUUUAUCUAGGAAUGCUAAGGAGAAAAUGUAAAUGAAGCCCAACCUUUGAAUUAGCAAAUGACUGGUGAUCAAUUGUACAGUAAAAGAAAGAAGGUACAGUGGCACAUCUGUAAUCCCAGUGGCUCCUGGAGACUGAGAGGAGGAUUUCGAGUUCAAAGCCAGCCUCAGCAGAUUAGUGAGGCAUUUAGCAAUUCAUUGAGACCCUGUCUCUAAAGAAAAAUAUAGGGCUGGGGUUGUGGCUCAGCGGUAGAGCGCUCACCUGGCACGUAUGAGACCCUGGGUUCGAUCCUCAGCACCAAAUAAAAAAAUAAGUGAAAUAAAGGUGUUGUGUCCAAUUACAACUAAAAAUAAAAAAAGGGCUGGGACAUCAGCUCACCUGGGUUCAAUCCCUGGUACCAAAAAAGAAAAAGAAGAAGAAAGAAAGAAGGUACAGCAGAGUGUGAUAGUGUAAGCCAGUAGUCCUAGCCAAUUGUGUGGUUGAGGCAGGAAGAUUGCUUGAGCCCAGAAGUUCAAAGCCAAUUUGGGCAGCAUAGCAAUACCCCAUCUCAAAAAAGGAAAAAGAAAGAUGCAGUGUACAGUGUAUCUUUGUCAUCCAACUUUAGGGUCUGUUGUGCUCUGUUUUGUUUUUAAGGCUUUAAGGCUGUGUGUGUGUGUGUGUGUGUGUGUGUAAAUUUAUGGUCUUAUUCAGUUGGUUAGGAUAUUUGAGUUAGGGAGGAGGGAAAGGGGGUCUAGAAUAAUUGUGCCUUUUUAUGGCAGAACAAAAGAAAUACCUUUCAUGCUGGGAGGUGGCACACGCCUCUAAUCCCAGCGGCUCUGGAGGCUGAGACAGGAGAAUCACAAGUUCAAAGCCAGCCUCAGCAACUUAGUGAGGCGCUUAGCAACUCAACGAGACUCUGUCUCUAAAUAAAAAAUGGCUGGGUAUGUGGCUCAGUGGUUAAGCAUCCCUGGGUUCAAUCCCUGGUCCAAAAAAAAAAAAAAAAGAAAAAAUAUGUUUAAAAAGCUCUGAUCCCACCAACUAAGCACAACAAGGCAUAGUCAGGAACUUUGUUUUAGAAAGACAGUUACUUCAACUAGACAAAAUGUUUGUUCAACAUCAUUCACUUUGUAAAGUCUGUUUUGUUCAGAUUAAGAGCAUUGAUUUUUGUUUUUGUUUUUUUUCCCCACAUGGUCCUAGCUCCAUUAAACAGAAACCUUAUGUGUAUUCCUUGAAUAAUGCUGGGAUUUUUACUGGAUUAAACAACAACAAAAAAAAAGGUAUAUGUG
rnacentral:lncRNA from 1 species